UCUGCCCCGAGAGGCAUUGCAGGUUUGGCUGCUGUGUCACUUGUGCGUCAGAAGGUGGCAGAGAGGAGAGAGGCCAUGUCUAUGCUCAGUAUGUUGACCUAUGAACACCUGAAUUCUUAGUAGCCUAACAUU
ensembl:snoRNA